rnacentral:rRNA from 1 species
GAUGAACGCUGGCGGCGUGCCUAAUACAUGCAAGUCGAGCGAACGGACGAGAAGCUUGCUUCUCUGAUGUUAGCGGCGGACGGGUGAGUAACACGUGGAUAACCUACCUAUAAGACUGGGAUAACUUCGGGAAACCGUAGCUAAUACCGGAUAAUAUUUUGAACCGCAUGGUUCAAAAGUGAAAGACGGUCUUGCUGUCACUUAUAGAUGGAUCCGCGCUGCAUUAGCUAGUUGGUAAGGUAACGGCUUACCAAGGCAACGAUGCAUAGCCGACCUGAGAGGGUGAUCGGCCACACUGGAACUGAGACACGGUCCAGACUCCUACGGGAGGCAGCAGUAUGGAAUCUUCCGCAAUGGGCGACAGCCUGACGGAGCAACGCCGCGUGAGUGAUGGAGGUCUUCGGAUCGUGAAACUCUGUUAUUAGGGAAGAACAUAUGUGUAAGUAACUGUGCACAUCUUGACGGUACCUAAUCAGAAAGCCACGGCUAACUACGUG